rnacentral:rRNA from 1 species
CCUACGGGAGGCAGCAGUGGGAAUUUGCGCAUGGACGAAAGUCUGACGCAGCAACGCCGCGUGGGUGAUGAAGGUCUUCGGAUCGUAAAACCCUGUCGUCAGGGACGAAGGGUUGGGGCCUAAUACGCCUUGACCUUGACGGUACCUGGAGAGGAAGCCCCGGCUAACUCUGUGCCAGCAGCCGCGGUAAUACAGAGGGGGCAAGCGUUAUUCGGAAUUAUUGGGCGUAAAGGGCGCGUAGGCGGUUCUUUAAGUCGGAUGUGCAAUCCCCGAGCUCAACUUGGGAACUGCAUCCGAGACUGGAGAGCUAGAGUGCUGGAGAGGGUGGUGGAAUUCCACGUGUAGCGGUGAAAUGCGUAGAGAUGUGGAGGAACACCAGUGGCGAAGGCGGCCACCUGGACAGUAACUGACGCUGAGGCGCGAAAGUGUGGGGAGCAAACAGGAUUAGAUACCCUGGUAGUCCACGCUGUAAACGAUGAACACUUGGUGUGGCGGGAGUGACCCCCGCCGUGCCGGAGCUAACGCGUUAAGUGUCCGCCUGGGAAGUACGGCCGCAAGGUUGAAACUCAAAGGAAUUGACGG